GGUGAGACUCACCUGACAGCUGAGAGCCUGGCCGGGAGAUCCACGCUGCAGAGGCCAAUGCUGGACUUCCCCUCCCCUCUUCAACCAGGCAGUUGCCCUGGGCCACCUGGUGGCCUGAAAUAACUUGACCGGGAACUAAAAGGACUCACGAAGCAUUUAACCAAGACUCUACAUGUUGACUUUUCAGCCAAGGACACUUCAGAGCGACUGGCUGCAGUUCUCCAAAGGAAGCUGCUGCCAGUUGCCCCUGGGGGGUUAUUUCCUUCUUGGACAUCAUGACCACAAUGGCAGAAAUGCAUUGAUGGCCAGCACUCUGGGGAUGAAUGUUUUUGAGUGGAAAUGAAACAUACCAAACUGGUUAAAGACAAAAAUGCAGAGUUGGACAAGUUCUGCAGGUCACGAAAGGCCUUUGAAGCAGCCAGGCCCGGUUCCUGCUCUGCUGUAUGGGAGGCUGCUGGCCUGAGCUGGAGAGCAGAAAGGCCCAGUGCCAAGGGUUCAGCAAGUACCAGUCCCAGGCCAGGCAUUUGCUAAUAAGCCAGGGUGACAGUAAGGACAAGGGGACUCUGGUGUGAUGUGAGGUUUCUCAGCCUCACUUGUCACACGUGAUAACUGCACAACCCUCCUGUCCCCUCCAGGCCUGUGUGAGACAGGAAAGGUGAGGCUGCCUCUCCCUCUGCACCUUAAAGCCACUCGGGGUCUGGGUUUUCCUGAGACUUCCCGGAGCCAGAUGCAGACUCCCAAAGGCGCCGAUCCUUCCUCGAUCUCCCUCCCUCAAGAGUGGCACUAAUCAGGUCUAAUUUAGAGAAAAUCCAUCACCUCCCCCCACUGUGGGCUCUGCCACUUCAUGCCUUGGUCUCUCCACCUAUCAGCCAGCUGGAGCCUGGGACUCAAGGAGGCAUGCUUGGAAGUAAGGAACUUCUCUGAGUACGAGGACAUCUGGGUGGUGCUGAACACCAGCAUGCUUUGCCCCGUGGCCUGGACUGUGCACAGGGCACCUAGAGUGACCUGUCACCUCCCACGCAGGUGGAAGGGUGUGAGAGAGAAUGGGCACUCAGUUACAAACAUCCCCUUCCCAAACACUUGUGGAUCUGAGUCUGAGGCUACUCCUUCCAGGUGAGGGGUUGGCUGCUGUUGUAGCUUGUUACUCUCUUUCUGUCCCUUCUGCCCUCAGGUCUUGACCAUGCAGCUUCCCAAGAACAGGAUGGGGAAUGAUAUGGGCACAUGGGGAGGCAAGCAGCCACAGGCCUCACCUGCUCAUGGGCACUGACCGUCCCAACAGCAGGUGGACAUGAAUCUAACCCACAGACACCAGAGUAGAGGGAGCUGGGCUCCCUGAGUCUGGAUGGGGUUCUCACAGGCCCCCACAGGGAGACAAGGGAAGCUUUCUCCAGAAUGUGGAGUACGGACUCACUGUGUGAAUAAAGUAAAUGAGCUGGAGGGGGCGGGACAAGAUUUCAAAAAGCACCACUCAUACACCCAGGACUGGCAAAGCUGCUGGCAGUAAGCUCUAUCAUGGGGCUCCCCCACUGCAGGUGAGCUGAUUGGCCUCAGCUGGCACCAUCCAUGCUCAGUGUUUGCCCUGAGGACAAGAAGACAUGGCAAAAAAGAGGAAAGUACAGAACACACUCCCACCUGGCUGGUGGGGAUAUAGAUAGUGCAGCUGCUGUGGAAACCUUCAGCUCCACAGAAAGGUAAAGAUGGAGCUACCACACCCCGAGUAAUUCCACCCCUAGGUAUCCACCCAAGAGAAAUGAACUCAGGCAUUCAAGCAAACACUGGCUCACAGAUGUUCAGAGCAGCGCUGUUCACAGUAGCCAAAAUGGAGAAACAAGCCAAGUAUAUAAAAUGACAAAUGCAUAAAUAAGAUGUGGUAUAUCCAUAGAAUGGGAUAUUAUUCAGCCAUAAAAAUGGAUGAGUACUAACACAUACUGCAACAUGGACUUUAGAAAACAUGGAAAGUAAAAGCAGUGAGUCACAAAAGACCACAUAUUGCAUAAUUCCAUUUAUACGAUAUAUCCAGAAUAGGCAAAUCCACAGAGACAGAAAGUAGACUGGUGGUCGCCAGGGGCUGAGGGGAAAGAGUGGGGAGUAAUUGCUUUACGGGUAUCAAGUUUUGGGGUAAUUAAAAUGUUCUGGAAAUUAUAGUGGUGAUGGUUGCACAACAUAGUGAAUAUAUUAAAACCUAAAAAAUAUACUAAAA